AAAAAAAAUCUCCUUUGAUAUUCUAUUGGUCUCGUUUCUCUGGAGAACCCUGACUAAUGCAUUUCCCUCUUUAGACAAUUUUGAGAUACAUUUCAUAAUGUUUUCCAGAAGGUCCUGACAAGAGUGAAUGAAUAUGAACUGUAGCAGUGGCCAGUUCAUCACUUAUACUAGUUUCUCUCCUUCCUUAUUCCAUUUUCUUAGCCCCUCACUCCUACUCCCUGCACUUACUUCCCAAAUCAUCUUCCUUCACCCAAGGAUCUAACUCAGGCUUGGCUUUAAGGAGGAUCCAGCCAAAACAUCUAGAACAUCAUAAUCAUAACCGUGGUUACCUCUGAAUGCAAACCUGCCAUGAGCUAGUUACUUUACUCAGAAAGCUAGCAGUCCUAAAAAAGAAAAUUGACACAGAGCGAGGCAGCAAGGAUGUAAGUAGGAUUCAAAUCCAGAUCUGUUGGAGACUUUCCACACUGCCUUCCAUACAGUACUGUUUAGAACAACACUCUGUAGACAUUGAGAACUUGGCAUCCACAAAAUGUUACAUUUCAAAGUGCUUUCAAGUUGUCCAGGUGCUUCCUAAUACUGUCAAUAACUGUUUUUUUAAAUUGAGGUAAGGUUGAUUUAUAACAUUGUAUAAAUUUCAGGCAUAUAUCGUUAUAUUUCACCUUCCACACAGACUACAUCAUGUUCCCCACCAAAAGUCUAGUUGCCUUCCGUCACCAUACACAUACGCCCCUUUACCCCUUUUACCCUCUCCCCUCUUGCCCCCUGGUAACCACCAAUAUGUUCUCUGUAUCUAUGUGUUUGUUUGCAUAACUGCUCUUCAGUGAGGGCUUUCUAUGUACCAGGUUCUGUGCAUAUUGGUGAUAUCAUUUCAUCUUUACAAAAAACCUGUAAAAUAAGACAGACCCUAUUUCCUCAUUUUUGUACCACUGUGUCUGCCAAAUAGACACUCGAUACUUGUUUAUUGAACUAAAUUGAAUUGAAAUAAAGUUUGGAAACCACAGAUCUAUUCCAUCUUCCCACUUCCUUUCAGAAAAAUGAAGUAGACCUCACGCUCAUAAAUUUCCUGAAAAUUUCCACUUUGUUCUUUGAUAACAUAUUCUGAUGCCUCAAGAACAAAGCGAAACAUAUUUUCAAAGCACAGAGUAGUAGUAUCUUCAAAGGAGGAAUAAAAAUGUUGGAUUCACUCAAGGAGAUUAGCAUCGUGGAAUUAUGGAGUUAUGGGGAACCUCAGGAGGUUAUCUAGUUUAUAACCUUGCCUCCAGGCAGAACUACAACAAAGCCAUCAUGAACACAUUUCUGUCUGUGUCUACAGGUCAGAUCUUAUUAUAACCCAUGAUAAUUCCGAUCUCCAAAUGAUUAAAAGAUCCCUCUGCUGCAACAAUUGGCCAGUUUAUUUCAAGCAGUGUUUGAUAAGGCAAAAUUCCACUAAAAAAUGUUUUAGUGGACCAGAAAAUGAAAACUCAAACAGGAGAAGAAUUUCAAAAAGCUAUGGAAAGGCCAAAGACUCUGGCAGCGUGGAUUUGCAUCAACUUGUUCUUUUAAUUGUUUGAAAUUGUAAAGCCUGGACUCUAAGAGAAAUUAAAAAGCAAAGAAAUUCUGAAACUAUAAAAGUUCAUUACACCAAUAAAAUAAAUACCUAUUUCUUAUAGGUCAGGAGUAAACGAUCAUCAUUACAUGUACUUCUUUAUUUGAUUAAUAAACAUGGUCUUAUUCAAGAGCCCCUGGGCAAAUGUACAAUAAAAUGUGAACAAGGAGAGGAAGAGAAGGAUAAUAACUUCAAGCACCUUUUAACCCAGCAAGUGUGGUUCUAGAAUGGAAGAAACCCUGGAACAACUCUGAGAACUCAUUCUGCCUCCUGAUGGACAGAAGGAGGAAUACUCGGCAGUCAUUUAGGGCUCAGAAGUCAAGCACCAUCAACAGAAAUGCUCCCAACACAGAGACUGCAGAGAGUGGCCUGCUGAGCUGGGAAAAUGUUGCUACGAGGAGCAUUCCAUGGACAAGAUUUCUGAGACUAAAUUGGAGCACAGUAAUCAAUCUCUGAUGUGUCAUCAAUGUCUGCCAUGGAAACCAUGUGCAGAAGUGGCAACUCAGGAUACGAAUGUAGUGACACAAAGGAUCCAUCUUAACAGUGUAUUCUCAAAAUGAAUGAAUAUGGAAAGACAUCCCA